UACGUAGGGUGCAGGCGUUAAUCGGAAUUACUGGGCGUAAAGCGUGCGCAGGCGGCUCCUUAAGUCAGAUGUGAAAGCCCCGGGCUUAACCUGGGAACUGCGUUUGAAACUGGGGGGCUAGAGUGUGGAAGAGGGGGGUGGAAUUCCGCGUGUAGCAGUGAAAUGCGUAGAGAUGCGGAGGAACACCGAUGGCGAAGGCAGCCCCCUGGGCUAACACUGACGCUCAGGCACGAAAGCGUGGGGAGCAAACAGG
rnacentral:rRNA from 1 species